rnacentral:rRNA from 1 species
AUGUCGAUGCCGUUCCGCUUGCCCGCCGCUUCCUUCCGGCCCCCGACCCUGCAGGAACCAUCGUACGCCGCCGACUCCGCCUCCCGGCGCCCCGGCUCCCCCGACUGGGUUUUACUGCAGCAACUGUCGUACAUCUCCGACCGCCGGAACGCCACCACCGCCGAGUCCAAGACGAGUGACGGCCAGGCCGUAGCGCUGUCCUUCUGGCUCGUGGAUCCGCCAGGCGUCUCCUACUUCACCGUCCACUGCCCCGGCCUCAAGGAGGACGACGAUGAUGAUCACUCCUACACACACUACGAGGCCUCGGUCAUCUGCGCCGAGGGCGCCCUCGUUCUCUUCAGCGUAACUUUAAGCUCCGCUUGGAAUAGCCGCUACGAGUAUUUUGUCUACCGAGCUGGCCCUGGGAAGCCAUCGCUGGACCUACUUCCGGACCCCAACAUUCGAGGCUUCGUAGCCGAGGAGUUCGGCCUCUUGCCCUGCGGCGACGCCCACGGCGGGCACUACGCCGUGGCCUAUCUCAACUGGGUUCCCAACGCCGGUGAUGAUCCAUGGCAGUUCGACGCCCACGUCUUCUCGUCGGAGACGCGGGCGUGGACCGCUAGGCGAGCCUCCCAGAGCCUAUCGGAGUCUGACAAGCUAUUGCUGGGUGACCACGACACCGGCAAGCAGAUCACCGUGGGAGCAGGCUCGCUGGGCUGGGUUGAUAUCAUCCGCGGCAUCCUCCUGGUUGCCAACCUGUUCGACGAGCAUCCCGUGAUCCAGUACAUCCCAUUGCCUGAGCCAAGGGUUCGCACCACCGACGAGGACGGUGGCAUUUUCUACUGCGCAGAUCUCCCCGAGUAUAUCCGCGAUGUCACCUGCUGCGACGGCCUGAUCAAGCUCGUCGACAUCGACUUCUACGGCGGCGAUGGUGGGAGCGAUGAAGGCUGGAUAGCCACCACGUUUACCAGGAUGGUGUCUUGGGACGAUUGGCGCCGGAGCUUCACGGUCGACGCCGCCGACAUCUCGGUUGACCCGAGCUAUCGGGCUUUGCUGCCUGACCUGUGGAACGACAAGGCCAAGCAACUGGACCUGAAGAAGCUUGCUUACUACGGCCCAACCCUGAGCACGCAGGAUGAUGACUUCGUCUACAUGAUGGCUAGGGUGAACGAUGAAGACGACAAGGCCUGCGUCAUCGCUGUUGACAUGAAACGUGCGGCUGUGGAGGCAGUGGCGCCGUUCUCCGACCAAGGACGCCGCGGCAUCACAACGUACUCCAUGCGCCUUCCCCAAGUACAUCGACACGACGACGGACGACAGACCGGUGAUUCUUCCUUCUUUCACAUGUGGUUACUCAGGAAUUCUAUGCCUCCUGCUCUUGGUUUCUCUGCUGGUUAA